AUUGAACGCUGGCGGCAUGCCUUACACAUGCAAGUCGAACGGCAGCACGGGUGCUUGCACCUGGUGGCGAGUGGCGAACGGGUGAGUAAUGCACCGGAACGUAUCCAAUAAUGGGGGAUAACGCACCGAAAGGUGUGCUAAUACCGCAUACGCCCUGAGGGGGAAAGCGGGGGAUCGUAAGACCUCGCGUUAAUGGAGCGGCCGAUGCCGGAUUAGCUAGUUGGUGAGGUAAAGGCUCACCAAGGCGACGAUCCGUAGCUGGUCUGAGAGGACGACCAGCCACACUGGAACUGAGACACGGUCCAGACUCCUACG
rnacentral:rRNA from 1 species